CCCUUAGAGUUUGAUCAUGGCUCAGAACGAACGGUAGCGGCGUGGAUUAGGCAUGCAAGUCGCACGAGAUCCUUACUUCGGUUAGGUGAAAGUGGCGAAAGGGUGAGUAAUGCAUAGACAAUCAACCCCUGACCUCGGGAUAACUGGGGGAAACCUCAGCUAAUACCGAAUAGGCUCCUUUGGUGGCAUCACCGAAGGAUUAAAGAUGGCCUCUCAACGAUGCUUUCAGUUGGGGACGGGUCUAUGUCCUAUCAGCUUGAUGGUGAGGUAACGGCUCACCAUGGCGAUGACGGGUAGCCGACCUGAGAGGGUGACCGGCCACACUGGGACUGAGACACUGCCCAGACUCCUACGGGAGGCUGCAGUCGAGAAUCUUCCGCAAUGGACGAAAGUCUGACGGAGCGACGCCGCGUGCGGGAUGAAGGCCUUCGGGUUGUAAACCGCUGUCACAGGUUAAGAAUGGGUCAGGCGAUAAUAUCGCCUGGCUCUGACAAAGGCCUGAGAGGAAGCCACGGCUAACUUCGUGCCAGCAGCCGCGGUAAGACGAAGGUGGCAACCGUUGUUCGGAAUCACUGGGCAUAAAGCGCACGUAGGCGGACAUGUAAGUCGGGUGUGAAAUCCCUCGGCCUGACCGAGGAACUGCGCCCGAUACUGCGUGUCUUGAGGGCAGGAGGGGAACGUGGAAUUCCUGGUGGAGCGGUGAAAUGCGUUGAUAUCAGGAGGAACACCGGCGGCGAAGGCGACGUU
rnacentral:rRNA from 1 species